UACGAAGGGGCUAGCGUUGCUCGGAAUCACUGGGCGUAAAGGUGCGUAGGCGGGUCUUUAAGUCAGGGUGAAAUCCUGGAGCUCAACUCCAGAACUGCCUUUGAUACUGAAGAUCUUGAGUUCGGGAGAGGUGAGUGGAAACUGCGAGUGUAGAGGUGAAAAUUCGUAGAUAUUCGCAAAGAACACCAGUGGCGAAGGCGGCUCACUGGCCCG
rnacentral:rRNA from 1 species